UCGAGCGGAAGGCCCUUCGGGGUACUCGAGCGGCGAACGGGUGAGUAACACGUGAGCAACCUGCCCCAUGCUUUGGGAUAACCCUCGGAAACGGGGGCUAAUACCGAAUAUUCACUACUGAUCGCAUGUUUGGUGGUGGAAAGUUUUUCGGCGUGGAAUGGGCUCGCGGCCUAUCGGCUUGUUGGUGGGGUAAUGGCCUACCAAGGUGACGACGGGUAGCCGGCCUGAGAGGGCGACCGGCCACACUGGGACUGAGACACGGCCCAGACUCCUACGGGAGGCAGCAGUGGGGAAUAUUGCACAAUGGGCGGAAGCCUGAUGCAGCGACGCCGCGUGAGGGAUGACGGCCUUCGGGUUGUAAACCUCUUUCAGCAGGGACGAAGCGAGAGUGACGGUACCUGCAGAAGAAGCGCCGGCCAACUACGUGCCAGCAGCCGCGGUAAGACGUAGGGCGCGAGCGUUGUCCGGAA
rnacentral:rRNA from 1 species